rnacentral:misc_RNA from 1 species
GAAAUGCGAUAAGUAGUGUGAAUUGCAGAAUUCAGUGAAUCAUCGAAGCUUUGAACGCACAUUGCGCCCUCUGGUAUUCCAAAGGGCAUGCCUGUUCGAGCGUCAUUUGUACCCUCAAGCUUUGCUUGGUGUUGGGCGUCUUGUCUCUAGCUUUGCUGGAGACUCGCCUUAAAGUAAUUGGCAGCCGGCCUACUGGUUUCGGAGCGCAGCACAAGUCGCACUCUCUAUCAGCAAAGGUCUAGCAUCCAUUAAGCCUUUUUUCAACUUUUGACCUCGGAUCAGGUAGGGAUACCCGCUGAACUUAAGC